rnacentral:rRNA from 1 species
GACGAACGCUGGCGGCGUGCUUAACACAUGCAAGUCGAACGGUGAAGCGCCAUCCUUUUGGGUUGGUGGGGAUGAGUGGCGAACGGGUGGGUAACACGUGAGUAACCUGCCCCCUUCUUCUGGAUAACCGCAGGAAAGUGUGGCUAAUACGGGAUACUCUGUGUCUGUCGCAUGAUGGGUCUGUGGAAGAUUUUGCUUCGGAGGGGGAUGGGCUCGCGGACUAUCAGCUUGUUGGUGGGGUGAUGGCCUACCAAGGCGGUGCCGGGGAGCCGGCCUGAGAGGGUGGGCGGUCCCACUGGGACUGCGCCGCCGACCCGACUCCUGCAGGCGGCAGCGGUGAGUAUUAUUGCACAGUGGGCGGCCGCCUGCUGCCGCGCCGCCGCGUGAGGGAUGGAGGCCUUCGGGUUGUGACCCUCUUUCGCCAGUGAAGCGGGCCUGCCUCGUUUGUGGGUGGGUUGACGGUAGCUGGAGAAGAAGCGCCGGCUAACUACGUG